rnacentral:rRNA from 1 species
CUCAGAACGAACGCUGGCGGCAGGCUUAACACAUGCAAGUCGAACGCCCCGCAAGGGGAGUGGCAGACGGGUGAGUAACGCGUGGGAACAUACCCUUUCCUGCGGAAUAGCUCCGGGAAACUGGAAUUAAUACCGCAUACGCCCUACGGGGGAAAGAUUUAUCGGGGAAGGAUUGGCCCGCGUUGGAUUAGCUAGUUGGUGGGGUAAAGGCCUACCAAGGCGACGAUCCAUAGCUGGUCUGAGAGGAUGAUCAGCCACAUUGGGACUGAGACACGGCCCAAACUCCUACGGGAGGCAGCAGUGGGGAAUAUUGGACAAUGGGCGCAAGCCUGAUCCAGCCAUGCCGCGUGAGUGAUGAAGGCCUUAGGGUUGUAAAGCUCUUUCACCGAUGAAGAUAAUGACGGUAGUCGGAGAAGAAGCCCCGGCUAACUUCGUGCCAGCAGCCGCGGUAAUAC